GAUGAACGCUGGCGGCGUGCCUAAUACAUGCAAGUCGAGCGAACGGACGAGAAGCUUGCUUUUCUGAUGUUAGCGGCGGACGGGUGAGUAACACGUGGAUAACCUACCUAUAAGACUGGGAUAACUUCGGGAAACCGGAGCUAAUACCGGAUAAUAUUUUGAACCGCAUGGUUCAAAAGUGAAAGACGGUCUUGCUGUCACUUAUAGAUGGAUCCGCGCUGCAUUAGCUAGUUGGUAAGGUAGCGGCUUACCAAGGCAACGAUGCAUAGCCGACCUGAGAGGGUGAUCGGCCACACUGGAACUGAGACACGGUCCAGACUCCUACGGGAGGCAGCAGUAGGGAAUCUUCCGCAAAGGGCGAAAGCCUGACGGAGCAACGCCGCGUGAGUGAUGAAGGUCUUCGGAUCGUAAAACUCUGUUAUUAGGGAAGAACAUAUGUGUAAGUAACUGUGCACAUCUUGACGGUACCUAAUCAGAAAGCCACGGCUAACUACGUG
rnacentral:rRNA from 1 species